rnacentral:rRNA from 1 species
GAUGAACGCUGGCGGCGUGCCUAAUACAUGCAAGUCGAGCGAACGGACGAGAAGCUUGCUUUUCUGAUGUUAGCGGCGGACGGGUGAGUAACACGUGGAUAUCCUACCUAUAAGACUGGGAUAACUUCGGGAAACCGGAGCUAAUACCGGAUAAUAUUUUGAACCGCAUGGUUCAAAAGUGAAAGACGGUCUUGCUGUCACUUAUAGAUGGAUCCGCGCUGCAUUAGCUAGUUGGUAAGGUAACGGCUUACCAAGGCAACGAUGCAUAGCCGACCUGAGAGGGUGAUCGGCCACACUGGAACUGAGACACGGUCCAGACUCCUACGGGAGGCAGCAGUAGGGAAUCUUCCGCAAUGGGCGAAAGCCUGACGGAGCAACGCCGCGUGAGUGAUGAAGGUCUUCGGAUCGUAAAACUCUGUUAUUAGGGAAGAACGUAUGUGUAAGUAACUGUGCACAUCUUGACGGUACCUAAUCAGAAAGCCACGGCUAACUACGUG